rnacentral:other from 1 species
UGUUCUCUGGAGUGUACGCCAGUCGUUAUAGUCCCUCGAGCCUAUGCGAUGUACCCAGGGGGCCAAAUGCUAGCCAACCCCGUGUGCAUGUCCGUGCGUCGGAAAGCCUGACGGGUUGGCUGCGGCCACCCACCUGAACCAAUAGGUUCAGGGCCAGAACGACAGCGGCAUUCUGGGGAACAC